rnacentral:rRNA from 1 species
AGCAAUACUGUGGGUGGCGAGUGGCGGACGGGUGAGUAAUGCAUCGGGACCUACCUAGACGUGGGGGAUAACGUAGGGAAACUUACGCUAAUACCGCAUACGUCCUACGGGAGAAAGCAGGGGACCUUCGGGCCUUGCGCGGUUAGACGGACCGAUGUUCGAUUAGCUAGUUGGUAGGGUAAUGGCCUACCAAGGCGACGAUCGUUAGCUGGUCUGAGAGGAUGAUCAGCCACACUGGAACUGAGACACGGUCCAGACUCCUACGGGAGGCAGCAGUGGGGAAUAUUGGACAAUGGGCGCAAGCCUGAUCCAGCAAUGCCGCGUGUGUGAAGAAGGCCUUCGGGUUGUAAAGCACUUUUAUCAGGAGCGAAACGCUGUCGGCUAAUACCCGGCGGAACUGACGGUACCUGAGGAAUAAGCACCGGCUAACUUCGUGCCAGCAGCCGCGGUAAUACGAAGGGUGCAAGCGUUAAUCGGAAUUACUGGGCGUAAAGCGUGCGUAGGCGGUUUGUUAAGUCUGUUGUGAAAUCCCCGGGCUCAACCUGGGAAUGGCAAUGGAUACUGGCAAGCUAGAGUGUGAUAGAGGAUGGUGGAAUUCCCGGUGUAGCGGUGAAAUGCGUAGAGAUCGGGAGGAACAUCAGUGGCGAAGGCGGCCAUCUGGAUCAACACUGACGCUGAGGCACGAAAGCGUGGGGAGCAAACAGGAUUA